GGUCUCCUUGUGUUGUUGUUCUUCCUGCCUGGCGGAGGGAGUGGGGCUGUGCUGACGGCUGGGAGGACGAGAGGAGCCACAAGAAAGACUUGGAAAGAGAUAACAGAGAAAGACAAAAGGCCGUGGGUUACACCGUCCGUCGGGUUAGGCAUCAACCACCUACAGAUUACAACACCGUCUGACCAUUCACUAAACCGGGGGUGAAAUGUCGUCGUCUACCAGUCGUCAGUUUAGCGAGAGCAGGGUCAUUCCGACCAGGACGGUGUUGAUCAACGAUACAACGCAGCUACCUCAUGACUAUUGCACCACCCCAGGAGGCACUUUAUUUUCGACCACUCCGGGAGGGACCCGGAUCAUCUACGACCGUAAGUUCCUGUUGGACAGGCGUAACUCCCCCAUCGCCCAGACCCCCCCGGCUCACCUGCCCAUCAUCCCCGGGGUGACCAGCCUCAACGUCCUCACAGAGAACGGGAGGACCGAGGUCAACAACCGCAUCAAACCCAAUAACAGUCAUGGCAAGACAGCCACCGCUAGCCAUGUGCAACAUGUACGGGCAGUUACAAGCCUGCUGGAGGUAGUGCCAACUGCGUGAUCAAUAUCCACCUUCAUAACAUGGAUGAAGCCUGAGCUGGAAUGUGGCUGGCUAGCUGUAUAAAAGCCUAAGUGAGGACGCUCAGUUCGAGAUGGACAUCUAACCACCCCUGAGGAACCUCAACGGAACAACAGAAGAAGGAACUAACCUUGUACCUGUGCUGUGCACCAGUGGCUUGGCUUGUAGAAACCAAUUUUUGUGAGCCCUCACGUCAAUCAUGGCAGCCAUCUUCUUUAGCUCUCUGUCUCGCCGUUGCUGGGUGUGAUGUAUGUAAACCAUGCGGAUAAACUAUACCAUAUAAUACGGUUGCUCUGUUUCAAUGUCCAUGCUAGGAUACCACUUAGAAUGAAGCAAUGUAUUUGACAUGUUUUCCCCUAAGUGGUAUAGUAGUGGGAUAUUGGAAUGCAGUCUUCAUGUACUGUAGCCAACUCUUCUAUCGUUGUCAAGCCAUACACAGAGGCGUUGGCUACAGUACAAACCAACUGGGCUACCAGGCUAUGGCCAACCCUGAGACCUAGUGGGAGACUGCUGGUCUAUUCGAACAGGUCUCAGGGUUACAACUGGCAUAUUUGUAUGUACUUCAGCCACACAGCAAGAGAAAGGGUCUGAAACCAAGGUAACCAGAGAUAUUCUUACCCAUUAACUAAAUGUAGACGCCCAAGUCAAUGCAGUAAUCUAAGAUGUCCAUUCUGUAUGUCUGUACUACCAGAGCACACUGUAAACACAGCCUUCUUUACCACUUCAGACUUUUUAUAAUGGGGCCCAGGAAACUGUGCAACAUGUACUACUUCUACUACUUUGUAGAGCAAAAUACCGGCCUUAGAAUCUUCAGUCAGAAGGAUUGAUAUAAACAAAUAGUUUGGUUUACAUUUUCAUUUCUUUUUUAAAUGACUGAAUAUGCUCCAAGGUCUCAUAGCUGCCUGUUUUAUAGUCCGUUAGGUUACCAACAAUUAAAUUAAUAUGGACGAUGUGACAGAUUAGUUUUUUCUUCAGAUUAGCUGAGAAUUUCAUCGUCAUUCCAAGCCUUGAAUUAUCCAUCACCAAUAAAAGUCUGACUUUAUGUUGUGUUUUGGUUCUUUCUGGUAAAGGAUUUUAUGAAGAUUGGGCUUUUGGUUUGUGGUGAUGAUUUGAUAGAUUUGCAAAUGGAAGGAGCAAAUUAAUUGAUACAUUACUAGUUAGUAGUACAAGAUUACAAGACAAUAGUUAGGUUUAAACAGUCUGAUAUUUGCUGUAUUUGAAUGAACUACAUAAACACAGAUUUAUUAGAAAAUGAGACAGGAAAAAGUUUAAAAACGUGAAUCGUUUCCAAUAAUUUUUCUAUGCAUUUUAUUACAUACAUUACUUCUAUCUUGACAUUGAACUUUUUUCAAUGUCAAAUACCAAAUGGACAUGAAAGGAAGAGCUGAGACCAUUUUUUCAUCAGACAUUGAUACUGUAUUACAGACAUCCCUCGUUUAGGUAAUAGACUACACUUCCACCGUCUUUUUUACCUUAAUCUCUUCUUCUUUCAGUCUACUGUGCUAAGUGUCUCUACCCCAUGCCUUACACAUUACAUACCAAGAUAAAAGGUUGCUACUAAAAUGGAGUUCCUUGUCUACUGAUUCAAAUGACCCUCAACCAGAAAAUAGUUCUAUUUUAAACAGACUUUUAUGUUUGUAUUUAGCACUUGAAAAUAUUUUUUUUUAAACCGUUUUUUUUGUUUUGUUAUUCAGAUCAUGGCCAUUAUUGUUUUGGAUGAUCAUACUGUUACCAUAACUAAAACUGUCAGCAAUUAAACCACAUUUUCAUUCCAUCUCUAGGUCCACUGUUAUUCAGAUUAUAUAUAUUUUUAAAUGAUUAUAUAUUAAAUGCAAUCAUUGGAUUUGAUUGAAGGAGAGAAACUGUUAUUUGGCUUUCUGAGAAAUUAUAAAAUUCCUGUCUAUUAAUGUGGAAAAUGUUUGUGUUAAACAUACAGAGCAAUUGAAUUGCACAUGUUUCUGUUGGAUUAGGAUUGUAACUCUUUGUUUUGAAGUAGGCCCUUAGCAAUUGUUUUAUGGGAAACCAGCUUGAGGCCUGUUUGGUUCUACAUGGAGGGCUUUUUACAUUGUAUUUUUUUCGUAAAAAAAGAUUUGAAACAAGAAACCUAACUUCUGUUCCGAUUUGAAAUAACUUUAUUUUCAGAGAAAUGCCAAUGCCAUUGGACACUGUUACAGCAAGAUCAAUAAAGUUCCUUGAAGAUUA